AGAGUUUGAUCCUGGCUCAGGGUAAACGCUGGCGGCGUGCGUAACACAUGCAAGUCGGACGGGUUAUACAUCUUCGGAUGUAUAAUCAGUGGCGAACGGGUGAGUAAAAGGUAGGGACCUACCCCGAGGACAGAGAUAGCUACUGGAAACGGUAGGUAAACUCUGAUAAGCCCGAGAGGGGAAAGUGGGAGUCAGCCUUGGGAUGGACCUACUAUCCAUCAGGUAGUUGGUGAGGUAAAGGCUUACCAAGCCGAUGACGGAUAACCGGUGUGAGAGCAUGUACGGUCACAAGGGCACUGAGACACGGGCCCUACUCCUACGGGAGGCAGCAGUGGGGAAUAUUGGACAAUGGGCGAAAGCCUGAUCCAGCGACGCCGCGUGAAGGAAGAAGUCCUUCGGGAUGUAAACUUCUGAACUAAUCGAAUAAAAGGGUAGUGGACACACUACAGAAGAAGGUAGAUUAGGAAAAGUCCCGGCUAACUACGUGCCAGCAGCCGCGGUAAGACGUAGGGGGCGAGCGUUGCCCGGAAUCACUGGGUGUAAAGGGGACGUAGGCGGAUGAUCAAGUCAUCUGUGAAAAGAUUGCUCAACGAUUGGCUUGCGGAUGAAACUGGUCAUCUUGGGCGUAGCAGAGGUAGACGGAAUUACCUGAGUAGGGGUGAAAUCCGCAGAUACAGGUAAGAAGGCCGGUGAAGAAGUUGGUCUACUGGGCUACAGCUGACGCUGAGGUCCGAAAGCCAGGGGAGCGAACCGGAUUAGAUACCCGGGUAGUCCUGGCUGUAAACGAUGCUCACUAGGUGUAGGGAGCGAAAGACUCUCUGUGCUGAAGCGAACGCGCUAAGUGAGCCACCCUGGGA
rnacentral:rRNA from 1 species